CGCGGCCUAUCAGCUUGUUGGUGGGGUAAUGGCCUGCCAAGGCGACGACGGGUAGCCGGCCUGAGAGGGCGACCGGCCACACUGGGACUGAGACACGGCCCAGACCCCUACGGGAGGCAGCAGUGGGGAAUAUUGCGCAAUGGGCGAAAGCCUGACGCAGCGACGCCGCGUGAGGGACGACGGCCUUCGGGUUGUAAACCUCUUUCAGCAGGGACGAAGCGAAAGUGACUGUACCUGCAGAAGAAGCACCGGCUAACUACGUGCCAGCAGCCGCGGUAAUACGUAGGGUGCAAGCGUUGUCCGGAAUUAUUGGGCGUAAAGAGCUCGUAGGCGGUCUGUCGCGUCGGAUGUGAAAACCCAGGGCUCAACCCUGGGCCUGCAUUCGAUACGGGCAGACUAGAAUUCGGUAGGGGAGACUGGAAUUCCUGGUGUAGCGGUGAAAUGCGCAGAUAUCAGGAGGAACACCGGUGGCGAAGGCGGGUCUCUGGGCCGAUAUUGACGCUGAGGAGCGAAAGCGUGGGGAGCGAACAGGAUUAGAUACCCUGGUAGUCCACGCCGUAAACGUUGGGCGCUAGGUGUGGGGAACCUUCCACGUUCUCCGUGCCGCAGCUAACGCAUUAAGCGCCCCGCCUGGGGA
rnacentral:rRNA from 1 species